GGCUGGUUUGAUGGUAGUGGGUUAACAGAACUCGUUAACAUUAGUGUCAUUAAAAUUAGUAUACACCCCACCCCCAAUGUGUCUGGCAAUCAGUCAAUA
rnacentral:Y_RNA from 1 species